GAUGAACGCUGGCGGCGUGCUUAACACAUGCAAGUCGAACGGAAAGGCCCAAGCUUUCUUGGGUACUCGAGUGGCGAAUGGGUGAGUAACACGUGGGUGAUCUGCCCUGCACUUCGGGAUAAGCCUGGGAAACUGGGUCUAAUAUCGGAUAUGACAACUUCUUGGAUGUUGUGGUGUAAAGUUUUUUGGCUGUGGAAUGAGCUCGCGGCCUAUCAGCUUGUUGGUGGGGUGUUGGCCUACCAAGGCGUCGACGGGUAGCCGGCCUGAGAGGGUGUACGGCCACAUUGGGACUGAGAUGCGGCCGAGGCACCUACGGGGGGGCGAAGGGGGGAAUCUUGCACGAUGAGCGCAGGCCUGAUGCAGCAACGCCGCGUAGGGGAUGACGGUCUUCGGGUUGAAGACUACAUGCGCUAGGGACGAAGCGUUUUGUGACGGUACCUGGAGAAGAAGCGCCGGCUAACUACGUG
rnacentral:rRNA from 1 species